UAUGGCAAGGGGAGGUUGGGGUCACUUAUAUUAUUAUUUAUUAAAUCUUUUAUAUAUUUACUCAAACUCACGCAGCUUACUUUCUAAAUUAUAGAACCCUGGUGUUUUGACUUUAAGACAAAGAUUGGCCAAGAUGAUGCAGCAGUGGCUUUCAGAUUAAUGUCUCCGUGCUUACAUUAUCGAAGACUGGUUUUUAUGGGGUAUAUAGAGUUGGUUUCAUACAGCUGGAUUGAGCCUUGAUCACAGAUUUAGUUGAGAGAUGGCGAGAGGAGACUCAUUCAUUUCAUCUUGCUAUGGGCGAGGCCACUUUCACAUUACAGGAUAUACCCAAGCUGUUUGGUCUCCAUGUGCAUGGUGAUGCAGUGACUGGUAGUGGUGAUGGCCAAUAGGCCGAGCUUUGUGAGGAGUUAUUGGGGCUUAGACCAGAUGCUGGUGCUCUUCAAGGUUUGGUUUUGAAAAUUAGUUGGUUAGGGGUAAUUUCUUACAACCCCCUCAGGGUGCAGAUGAUGCGACACCGAAGCACUAUGCAAGGGCAUAUGUUUUAGGCCUGAUGGGUGGUGGCCUCUUUGCAGAUAAGACUGGAUCAGAUGUUCACCUGAUAUUCUUGCCUGUGUGAAGGAUUUUGAGGCUAUUGGACGACUGAGUUGGGGUAGUGCUGCACUUGCACACUUGUAUCGAGAGCUCUGUUUUUGCAAGUAGGGCAAGUGCAGUUGAGAUUUCUGGUCCUCACGUCCUAUUGCAGCUGUGGGCAUGAGAAUGAUUGCAUAUUGAUCAGCGUGAUAGACUUGCUGCUCAAUCUCAGGAUUUAGUUGCCUCAACAUGUGAGGGUGCAGGGGAUAUGGCGGCAGUUGCAGGGCAUGCAGCAGAGAGUGCUGCAGUCAAUGAGGAGCCAUUUCGUACUGACCCAAUAGGAUACAGAUGAUAUGUCAACCAUACACUCCUGAGAUACUUGCACUGUUGCCACAUAUAUGUACCAUGGAUCAGCAUGUGUGCCGGACCAUGGCACCUCUCAUAUGCGUUGACAUUGUUGAGUGGCAUCACCCUGACCGAGUUUUCCAACAAUUUGGUCUUUUUCAAGGAAUUCCAGAGCAUUGUGAUACCAGCAUGGCAUUGCAUACCAUUGAUUAAGCGUGGUAGAUGCCAUUUUGAUUGGCGAGAAUGUCAAGCAGAAUAUAUCAGGUUGUGGGAUGAAUGCGAGCAGUGUGUUUUUGUUGGUGAGUUAGAAGAGUGCCCUGUGCGUUAUCUUCAUUCAUACAUGGAGUAGUAUCACAAAAUUACUCUUCGUUUUAUUACCCCAUUCAACAGGAGAUCCAUUUGCAAUUUCAGCCUACUGGAGGGGUAACAUAUCUAUUGGUUUAAAGCUCGAUGACUAUUUAUGAUCGGUGCACUAGAAAAAUUAGUUCUUUUGCGAGUGAGACUGCGAUGGAAGCACUGACAGGUAUUUAGGUUUCAGACUCUGCCUAAAUGUCUUUCUAUUGAUCGAGGGCAUGCCAUAACUAGUGCUGCAGGAUCACCAUUUCCAUCCACGCCACCAAAGACAACAGAAGAUGAGGUUUCACAAGAACCAGUACCAGUGACUUCCACAGCCAUGGGUUUAUUGGUCAAAGGGCACAGAAGGGGAAGGGGUAGGUGUCAGGGUUGGGGUCGAGGUGGUGGGCAUAGCAUAGGAAAUUGUGUAAUAGCGUCUUCCUCAUCGACUCCACUUGUUCCAAAACUGCUGCCGCCUCCUCAAUGACAUCACCAACAGCACAACCUCCAGUUCCACCUGCAGAAGAACAAGGAAAAGUACUGCUAUAACCGACAUCUGGUCAGUGACUCAACCUCCAUCUCCUCAUCAGCUUCCACUGCCUGUAGAAACACAAAUGUAAUGGCAUCGCCUGCUCCUUUGCCAGUGACACCACCUGCUUUGCCAGAGUCUCCAUGGCUGUUGCGAUCGAUUCCGCUUGAUGUCGAGUCCAUGGAGGGGCCAUCACAACUCAUCAACGAGGCAUUAAUAGAGCUUUGGACCAACAACUAUGGAAAUAUGUUUGUUUUUGGAAAUAAUUCAUAAAUCAUCAUCUAUUAAAAAUAUUAGUUGGACUAUCCAAUCAGUCAUUUGUUUUUUUGGAAAAACAAAUUUAAUUUUUAGAUUUUUAGUAAUUGUGCAGGAUUUGACUCGACAAGUAAUUAUUACUUGACCUAAUUAAAUUUUAAAAUUUAUUUGGCAA